UUCCCAAUAUUUCAAAAAUAUUGAAAGCUCUUUUGUAGGACAGGCUUGUGUUGCCAGAUAAAGCGCACCGUGACAGUAUUCUGCCAUGUGCAAAGAGUUGGUCUAAUCCAAGAUGAGGUCUUGAAAUUGAGGAGCCGGAGUUGCCAUCGGUGAGACAUUGGGGUGUAGUGAACUCCCCGUGUCUAAGGAACCCGUAAAAAAGUUAAGUAUAUAGAGGCUUUUAAUGGCAGAAUACUGUCAUAGUGUGCUUUAUCUGUCAACACAAGAUGGUCAUACAAAAGAG